CUUUCUUCCUCUACUGUGUGAUUUCGAGUGAUAAAAUUGCGAGUUAAUUUGAGUGAAUCAACUAGUGAAGCUCGUAGAUGAAACUGGAGUUAUAAUCUACAAAUUACGAAGGAUAUUUUGCUGCUACGAAUCAUGAAAAAUUAGAAGAAUGGGAAGAACUGCUGAUACUGUAAACUGAUAUAGGCUUGCUACCGAGACUUAAAGUUGAAGAUGAUAAGUGCUCGUUUUUAAUCGAGAGGGUUAGGAGAGACUGAGAAGGUGGAACAAGUGGUGAUGACAUAUGGGUUUAACUGGAAUUUGGUUUUACAGAAUAACUGGUGCUCAAGUUGAACACAUAAUUAGAAAUUGGAAGGGUAAGCAAUCUGAGGGUGAACUUUCGCAGCAAUUUGUAGUACAUAUUACGGUGAAUCUUUUGCGUCAAAUUUAUGACCAUUGGCCCACACUGUGCCUAAUUGCACUAGCAAAAUGCAUGAACUUGUGAAUUUCAAUUUCUGUACUUACCCGAUUUGGGUAUGGCUGUAGUUGUGCCGUGGCCGUUGGAUGUUCUCAAGAUAAUUAAAGAAUAGUUGUUGAA